GGGUGCGAUAAUGGCAGCACUAAAUCACCAGAUCGCAUCAGAACUCCGAAGUUAAGCGUGCUUGGGCCAGAGUAGAACUAGGAUGGGUGACCCCCCCGGGAAGUCCUCGUGUUGCACUCC
rnacentral:rRNA from 15 species